rnacentral:rRNA from 1 species
GGCGAGUGAAGCGGGAAGAGCUCAAAUUUGAAAUCUGGCGCUUUCAGCGUCCGAGUUGUAAUCUCGAGAAGUGUUUUCCGCGCCGGACCGCAUACAAGUCUGUUGGAAUACAGCGUCAUAGUGGUGAGAACCCCGUAACUGAUGUGGAUGCCCGGUGCUUUGUGAUACACUUUCGAAGAGUCGAGUUGUUUGGGAAUGCAGCUCAAAGUGGGUGGUAAAUUCCAUCUAAAGCUAAAUAUUGGCGAGAGACCGAUAGCGAACAAGUACCGUGAGGGAAAGAUGAAAAGCACUUUGGAAAGAGAGUUAACAGUACGUGAAAUUGUUGGAAGGGAAACGCUUCAACUCAGACUUGUACGGCGGAGUUCAGCCUUCUGGUGUACUCUUCGCCUAACAGGCCAGCAUCAGUUUUUGGGGGUUGAAAAUCGUAGUUUGAAUGUAGCAGCCUCGGCUGUGUUAUAGCUUAUUACUGGAUCGAUCCUUGGGGACUGAGGAACGCAGUGUGCUUUUAGCAUUCUCUUUGGAGAAACCACACUUGGAUGCUGGU